rnacentral:rRNA from 1 species
CCUACGGGGGGCAGCAGUGGGGAAUUUUCCGCAAUGGGCGAAAGCCUGACGGAGCAAUACCGCGUGAGGGAGGAAGGCUUUUGGGUUGUAAACCUCUUUUCUCAGGGAAGAAAAUUUGACGGUACCUGAGGAAUAAGCAUCGGCUAACUCCGUGCCAGCAGCCGCGGUAAUACGGAGGAUGCAAGCGUUAUUCGGAAUUAUUGGGCGUAAAGCGUCCGCAGGUGGUUUUUCAAGUCUGCUGUCAAAGACCGAAGCUUAACUUCGGGUAGGCGGUGGAAACUGAGAGACUAGAGUACGGUAGGGGUAGAGGGAAUUUCCAGUGUAGCGGUGAAAUGCGUAGAGAUUGGAAAGAACACCAGUGGCGAAGGCGCUCUACUGGACCGUAACUGACACUCAGGGACGAAAGCUAGGGUAGCGAAAGGGAUUAGAUACCCCUGUAGUCCUAGCUGUAAACGAUGGAUACUAGGCGUUGCUUGUAUCGACCCGAGCAGCGCCGUAGCUAACACGUUAAGUAUCCCGCCUGGGGAGUACGCACGCAAGUGUGAAACUCAAAGGAAUUGACGGGGGCCCGCACAAGCGGUGGGGCAUGUGGUUUAAUUCGAUGCAACGCGAAGAACCUUACCAGGGCUUGACAUCCCACGAAUUCCGCAGAGAUGUGGAAGUGCCUUCGGGAACGUGGAGACAGGUGGUGCAUGGCUGUCGUCAGCUCGUGUCGUGAGAUGUUGGGUUAAGUCCCGCAACGAGCGCAACCCUCGUGGUUAGUUGCCAUCAUUAAGUUGGGCACUCUAGCCAGACUGCCGGUGACAAACCGGAGGAAGGUGGGGAUGACGUCAAGUCAGCAUGCCCCUUACGUCCUGGGCUACACACGUGCUACAAUGCCGCGGACAAAGAGCAGCCAACUCGCGAGAGUGCGCAAAUCUCAUAAACCGCGGCUCAGUUCAGAUUGCAGGCUGCAACUCGCCUGCAUGAAGGAGGAAUCGCUAGUAAUCGCAGGUCAGCAUACUGCGGUGAAUACGUUCCCGGGCCUUGCACACACCGCCCGUC